GAUGAACGCUAGCUACAGGCUUAACACAUGCAAGUCGAGGGGAAACGGCAUUAAGUGCUUGCACUUUUUGGACGUCGACCGGCGCACGGGUGAGUAACGCGUAUCCAACCUUCCCAUGACUAAGGGAUAACCUGCCGAAAGGCAGACUAAUACCUUAUGGUCUUCACUGACGGCAUCAGAUGUGAAGUAAAGAUUUAUCGGUUAUGGAUGGGGAUGCGUCUGAUUAGCUUGUUGGCGGGGUAACGGCCCACCAAGGCAACGAUCAGUAGGGGUUCUGAGAGGAAGGUCCCCCACAUUGGAACUGAGACACGGUCCAAACUCCUACGGGAGGCAGCAGUGAGGAAUAUUGGUCAAUGGGCGAGAGCCUGAACCAGCCAAGUAGCGUGCAGGAUGACGGCCCUAUGGGUUGUAAACUGCUUUUGUAUGGGGAUAAAGUCAAUCACGCGUGAUUGUUUGCAGGUACCAUACGAAUAAGGACCGGCUAAUUCCGUG
rnacentral:rRNA from 1 species